GGUUCCUGACCUCCUGGUUUCUGGGGAAAAUUUGAAAAGGUGAAGCAAGUGUACCCUAAAGCCUAGGAAUCAAACAGCAAAAAAAGUCCACUAAAGCCCCUCUCCCGCUGCUGGGGUUACAGGUGUCGGAGGCUCGCAGUGCUGCCGGAUGCCCGCAUGGGUAUGAAGCACCAGACGGGAGAAGCCAGCCCGGCUGUCAGGAGGGACGAGGGCUGAUUCGAGACCAGGGAAUUUUUCAGAAAUGAGUGAAGAAGUUUAGAAGUGCCCAUAAUCUAAUGGCGAAGAUAAGGAGACCUGGCAGAAUGUUU
rnacentral:lncRNA from 1 species